rnacentral:rRNA from 1 species
GAUGAACGCUGGCGGCGUGCUUAACACAUGCAAGUCGAACGAUGAAGCCCAGCUUGCUGGGUGGAUUAGUGGCGAACGGGUGAGUAACACGUGAGUAACCUGCCCUUGACUCUGGGAUAAGCCUGGGAAACUGGGUCUAAUACUGGAUAUGACUUCUCAUCGCAUGGUGGGGGGUGGAAAGAUUUAUUGGUCUUGGAUGGACUCGCGGCCUAUCAGCUUGUUGGUGAGGUAAUGGCCCACCAAGGCGACGACGGGUAGCCGGCCUGAGAGGGUGACCGGCCACACUGGGACUGAGACACGGCCCAGACUCCUACGGGAGGCAGCAGUGGGGAAUAUUGCACAAUGGGCGCAAGCCUGAUGCAGCGACGCCGCGUGAGGGAUGACGGCCUUCGGGUUGUAAACCUCUUUCAGUAGGGAAGAAGCGAGAGUGACGGUACCUGCAGAAGAAGCGCCGGCUAACUACGUG